AACGAACGCUGGCGGCAUGCCUAACACAUGCAAGUCGAACGAGACCUUCGGGUCUAGUGGCGCACGGGUGCGUAACGCGUGGGAACCUGCCCUUAGGUUCGGAAUAACUCCCCGAAAGGGGUGCUAAUACCGGAUAAUGUCUUCGGACCAAAGAUUUAUCGCCUUUGGAUGGGCCCGCGUUGGAUUAGCUAGUUGGUAGGGUAAAAGCCUACCAAGGCGACGAUCCAUAGCUGGUCUGAGAGGAUGAUCAGCCACACUGGGACUGGGACACGGCCCAGACUCCUACGGGAGGCAGCAGUGGGGAAUAUUGGACAAUGGGCGAAAGCCUGAUCCAGCAAUGCCGCGUGAGUGAUGAAGGCCUUAGGGUUGUAAAGCUCUUUUACCCGGGAUGAUAAUGACAGUACCGGGAGUAUAAGCUCCGGCUAACUCCGUG
rnacentral:rRNA from 1 species